rnacentral:tRNA from 1 species
GAAGAACUAGCUAAAUGGUUAAAGCAGUAGCAUGCUAAGUUAAAGAUUAGAAGUUCGAGUCUUCUGUUCUUCG